rnacentral:rRNA from 1 species
CCUACGGGAGGCAGCAGUGGGGAAUAUUGCACACUGGGGGAAACCCUGAUGCAGCGACGCCGCGUGAGUGAAGAAGUAUUUCGGUAUGUAAAGCUCUGUCAGCAGGGAAGAAAAUGACGGUACCUGACUAAGAAGCCCCGGCUAACUACUUGCCAGCAGCUGCGGUAAUACGUAGGGGGCAAGCGUUCUCCGGAUGUACUGGGGGAAAGGGGAGCGGAGACGGCAGAGCAAUUCUGAAGUGAAAGCCCGCGGUCCAACUGCGGGACUGCUUUGGAAACUGCCCGGAUAGAGUGCUGAAGAGGUAAGCGGAAUUCCUAGUGUAGCGGUGAAAGGAGUAGAUAUUAGGAGGAACACCAGUGGCGAAGGCGGCUUACUGGACAGUAACUGACGUUGAGGCUCGAAAGCGUGGGGAGCAAACAGGAUUAGAUACCCUGGUAGUC